UACGUAGGGGGCAAGCGUUGUCCGGAUUUAUUGGGCGUAAAGAGCGUGUAGGCGGCCAUACAGGUCAGCUGUGAAAACUCGAGGCUCAACCUCGAGACGCCGGUGGAAACCGUUUGGCUAGAGUCCGGAAGAGGAGAGUGGAAUUCCUGGUGUAGCGGUGAAAUGCGCAGAUAUCGGGAAGAACACCCAUGGCGAAGGCAGCUCUCUGGGACGGUACUGACGCUGAGACGCGAAAGCGUGGGGAGCGAACAGG
rnacentral:rRNA from 1 species